AUGAAGUUGGAAUCGCUAGUAAUCGCGAAUCAGAAUGUCGCGGUGAAUACGUUCCCGGGUCUUGUACACACCGCCCGUCACACCACGAGAGUUUACAACACCCGAAGUCAGUGGCCUAACCGNAAGGAGGGAGCUGCCUAAGGUGGGGUAGAUGAUUGGGGUGAAGUCGUAACAAGGUACC
rnacentral:rRNA from 1 species